UGACCAGGAAGUCACGGCUAACUACGUGCCAGCAGCCGCGGUAAUACGUAGGUGGCAAGCGUUGUCCGGAUUUAUUGGGCGUAAAGGGAACGCAGGCGGUCUUUUAAGUCUGAUGUGAAAGCCUUCGGCUUAACCGGAGAAGUGCAUCGGAAACCGGGAGACUUGAGUGCGGAAGAGGACAGUGGAACUCCACGUGUAGCGGUGAAAUGCGUAGAUAUAUGGAAGAACACCAGUGGCGAAGGCGGCUGUCUGGUCUGCAACUGACGCUGAGGCUCGAAAGCAUGGGUAGCGAACAGGAUUAGAUACCCUGGUAGUCCAUGCCGUAAACGAUGAGUGCUAAGUGUUGGAGGGUUUCCGCCCUUCAGUGCUGCAGCUAACGCAUUAAGCACUCCGCCUGGGGAGUACGACCGCAAGGUUGAAACUCAAAGGAAUUGACGGGGGCCCGCACAAGCGGUGGAGCAUGUGGUUUAAUUCGAUGCUACGCGAAGAACCUUACCAGGUCUUGACAUCUUCUGCUAACCUAAGAGAUUAGGCGUUCCCUUCGGGGACGGAAUGACAGGUGGUGCAUGGUUGUCGUCAGCUCGUGUCGUGAGAUGUUGGGUUAAGUCCCGCAACGAGCGCAACCCUUAUUGUCAGUUGCCAGCAUUUAGUUGGGCACUCUGGCGAGACUGCCGGUGACAAACCGGAGGAAGGUGGGGAUGACGUCAAAUCAUCAUGCCCCUUAUGACCUGGGCUACACACGUGCUACAAUGGACGGUACAACGAGUCGCGAAAUCGCGAGGUCAAGCUAAUCUCUGAAAGCCGUUCUCAGUUCGGAUUGCAGGCUGCGACUCGCCUGCAUGAAGUUGGAAUCGCUAGUAAUCGUGGAUCAGCAUGCCACGGUGAAUACGUUCCCGGGCCUUGUACACACCGCCCGUCACACCAUGAGAGUUUGUAACACCCAAAGCCGGUGAGGUAACCUUCGGGAACCAGCCGUCUAAGGUGGGACAGAUGAUUAGGGUGAAGUCGUAACAAGGUAGCCGUAGGAGAACCUGCGGCUGGAUCACCUCCUUUCAA
rnacentral:rRNA from 1 species